UUCACUCCUCAGCCUGUCGGCUAAGAUCAAGUGGAGCAUGUGUUCCUAUCAGUGUCACAGCUGCCACACCCUCUGUCCAAGGACCACACAGUAAAUGGAAUUCUGGAAAGAGGAGAUGCAGUAGGAGCUUGUUCUGUCCACUGCCUGCACUGACCAUUGCAGUCAUUCCGGGGGAAACAAG
rnacentral:snRNA from 1 species